rnacentral:rRNA from 1 species
UACAGAGGGGGCAAGCGUUGUUCGGAAUUACUGGGCGUAAAGGGCGCGUAGGCGGAUCGAUCAGUCAGGGGUGAAAUCCCAGGGCUCAACCCUGGAACUGCCUUUGAUACUGUCGAUCUGGAGUAUGGAAGAGGUGAGUGGAAUUCCGAGUGUAGAGGUGAAAUUCGUAGAUAUUCGGAAGAACACCAGUGGCGAAGGCGGCUCACUGGCUCGAUACUGACGCUGAGGUGCGAAAGCGUGGGGAGCAAACAGG